CAGACCAAGGACUAACCACAGGGCUGGAAGGGAGAACUAUCACCUGGGAGGCAAAAUGGAGGGGCCAGCUGAGUCCUGGAAGCAGAUGGUGGACAGGGCCUGUGGCCACAGAGAGAAUUCAACACAGCAGUAUGGUUUGUGACUUCAGAGGCUUAAACCAUGUAAACAACUCCAGGAUUGGGAAAAGAGAAGCCCAAGCAGGACCAAGUGUGGAAUCCCACUCCUGUUUCACAAAGGGAGUUUCAGUGGGUGGUCUGAACUAGUCUCACAAUCUCCCUUCAUUCCACAACUUAGACUCAAGUGUCAAAUACACACCAGCAUCAGCCAAGCCCUGGUCAUCGCAGUCAAUACCACACAACCAGUUUACUAGCAGAAGGACCAAUCUAUCCACAGUGACAGCAUCAAAGAAGCCCUACACUCAGGGGCAUAAGACAACUCAUGCCCAGUGGCUUCUGCCCUUCCUUUGCCCAGAAUGUUGUAGGGACUGUUGAAUGCCCAGAGAUGUGCCUUCCACCACUGCUGAUGGCGUUAGCAGGGAAUGAGGGGGAGAACCAGUCACAGUUGAAGAAUAAAGCAGAGAGAAAAAAAUUGGACAAUUAUCUACUAAACUGGAAGA